rnacentral:tRNA from 1 species
AAGAUUUUAUGUUAAUUAAACAAGUAGCCUUCAAAGCUUCCAUUGAGAGUUUUAUUCUCUUAAGUCUUA